rnacentral:rRNA from 1 species
GAUGAACGCUGGCGGCGUGCCUAAUACAUGCAAGUCGAGCGAAGCGGGGACGGGUGAGUAACAUGUGGAUAACCUCCUAUAAGACUGGGAUAACUUACGGAAACCGGAGCGAAACCGGAAACUGAUAGAUGGAUCCGCGAUGCAUGGGCUAGUUGGUAAGGUAACGGCGUACCAAGUCAACGAUGCAUAGCCGACCUGAGAGGGUGCUCGGCCACACUGGAACUGGACCACGGUCCAGACUCCUACGGGAGGCAGCAGUAGCGAAUCGUCCGCAAUGGGCGAAAGCCUGACGGAGCAACGCCGCGUGAGUGAUGAAGGUCUUCCGAUCGUAAAGCUCUGUUAUUAGGGAAGCGGUACCUACUCAGAAAGCCACGGCUAACUACGUGCCAGCAGCCGCGGUAAUUC